UAUUUAUUAGAUAAACAACCAACGCCCUUCGGGGCUCCUUGGUGAAUCAUAAUAACUUAACGAAUCGCAUGGCCUUGCGCCGGCGAUGGUUCAUUCAAAUUUCUGCCCUAUCAACUUUCGAUGGUAGGAUAGUGGCCUACCAUGGUGGCAACGGGUAACGGGGAAUUAGGGUUCGAUUCCGGAGAGGGAGCCUGAGAAACGGCUACCACAUCCAAGGAAGGCAGCAGGCGCGCAAAUUACCCAAUCCCGAUACGGGGAGGUAGUGACAAUAAAUACUGAUACGGGGCUCUUUUGGGUCUCGUAAUUGGAAUGAGAACAAUUUAAAUCCCUUAACGAGGAACAAUUGGAGGGCAAGUCUGGUGCCAGCAGCCGCGGUAAUUCCAGCUCCAAUAGCGUAUAUUAAAGUUGUUGCAGUUAAAAAGCUCGUAGUUGAACCUUGGGUCUGGCUGGCCGGUCCGCCUCACCGCGAGUACUGGUCCGGCUGGACCUUUCCUUCUGGGGAACCUCAUGGCCUUCACUGGCUGUGGGGGGAACCAGGACUUUUACUGUGAAAAAAUUAGAGUGUUCAAAGCAGGC
rnacentral:rRNA from 1 species